ACAGUGGACGCGAGCAUCUUAUUUAGAUCUUUGUGGUCAAGUUUUUAAGAGCACAGGGUGAAUGCCUUGGCACUAGGAGCCGAAGAAGGACGUAGGAGCCUGCGAUAAGCCUCGGGGAGUUGGCAACCGAACUGCGAUCCGAGGAUUUCCGAAUGGGGAAACCCGGCUGGAGUCAUGUCCAGUCACCCAUGCCUGAACACAUAGGGCAUGUGGAGGGAACGUGGGGAAGUGAAACAUCUCAGUACCCACAGGAAGAGAAAGUAACCACGAUUCCGUGAGUAGUGGCGAGCGAAAGCGGAAAAGGCCAAACCGUACGCGUGUGAUAGCUGGUAGGCGUUGCGCGUUCGGGGUUGUGGGACCUCUCGGCCUGAUCUACCAGUCAGGCAAGGAGUCAAAAAAUCGCGUUAUAGUCGAAGGGCAUUGAAAGGCCCGGCACAGAGGGUGGCACCCCCGUAGACAAAAUGACGUGGUCUCCUGAGAGUGUUCCCAAGUAGUACGGGGCCCGAGAAAUCCCGUACGAAUCUGGAGGGACCACCCUCUAAGCCUAAAUACUACCUAGUGACCGAUAGCGGACCAGUACCGUGAGGGAAAGGUGAAAAGUACCCCGGGAGGGGAGUGAAAUAGUACCUGAAACCGUGUGCUUACAAGCCGUUGAAGCCUUAAGGGGUGACAGCGUGCCUUUUGAAGAAUGAGCCUGCGAGUUAGCGUUACGUGGCGAGGUUAACCCGAGAGGGGCAGCCAUAGCGAAAGCGAGUCUGAACAGGGCGAACAAGUCGCGUGACCUAGACCCGAAGCGAAGUGAUCUAUCCAUGGCCAGGUUGAAGCGCGGGUAAGACCGCGUGGAGGACCGAACCCACCAGGGUUGAAAACCUGGGGGAUGAGCUGUGGAUAGGGGUGAAAGGCCAAUCAAACUUCGUGAUAGCUGGUUCUCCCCGAAAUGCAUUUAGGUGCAGCGUCAUGUGUUUCUUACCGGAGGUAGAGCUACUGGAUGGCCAAUGGGCCCCACAAGGUUACUGACGUCAACUAAACUCCGAAUGCCGGUAAGUGAGAGCAUGGCAGUGAGACUGCGGGGGAUAAGCUUCGUAGUCGAAAGGGAAACAGCCCAGAUCACCGGCUAAGGCCCCUAAGCGUGUGCUAAGUGGAAAAGGAUGUGGAGUUGCCCAGACAACCAGGAGGUUGGCUUAGAAGCAGCCACCCUUGAAAGAGUGCGUAAUAGCUCACUGGUCAAGUGAUUCCGCGCCGACAAUGUAGCGGGGCUCAAGCACACCGCCGAAGCCGUGACAUAUGCGCAAUAUCUAGGCCUUCGUGGUCCAGGAGCGUAGAUGGGUAGGGGAGCGUCGUGUGGCGAGCGAAGCAGCGGGGUAACCCAGCUGUGGACGCCACACGAGUGAGAAUGCAGGCAUGAGUAGCGAAAGACGGGUGAGAAACCCGUCCGCCGAAUGACCAAGGGUUCCAGGGCCAGGUUAAUCCGCCCUGGGUAAGUCGGGACCUAAGGCGAGGCCGACAGGCGUAGUCGAUGGACAACGGGUUGAUAUUCCCGUACCGGCGAAAAACCGUCCAUGCCGAAUGUGAGGAAGCUAAGUGCCCGAAGCGACGUCGCCGCCUUGUGCGGUGUAGUUCGUGGAGCGCACGACCCGAUUCAUUAGUAGGCAAGCGUAUUAACAGGAGUGACGCAGAAGGGUAGCCACCGCGUGCGCGAUGGUAGUCCACGUCCAAGGGUGUAGGGCGAAGUGUAGGCAAAUCCGCACUUCAUGAAGCCUGAGACCUGAUGGUGACAGCAAUAGCUGGAAGAGGGUGAUCCCAUGCUGCCGAGAAAAGCUUCGACGCGAGGUUUCAGCCGCCCGUACCCUAAACCGACUCAGGUGGUCAGGUAGAGAAUACCAAGGCGAUCGAGAGAAUCGUGGUUAAGGAACUCGGCAAAAUGCCCCCGUAACUUCGGGAGAAGGGGGGCCUGAAGGGUGUACUCACUUGCUGAGGAAGCCCAGAGGGCCGCAGAGACCAGGGAGAAGCGACUGUUUACUAAAAACACAGGUCCGUGCGAAGUCGUAAGACGAUGUAUACGGACUGACGCCUGCCCGGUGCUGGAACGUUAAGGGGACGGGUUAGUCGAAAGGCGAAGCUCAGAACUUAAGCGCCAGUAAACGGCGGUGGUAACUAUAACCAUCCUAAGGUAGCGAAAUUCCUUGUCGGGUAAGUUCCGACCUGCACGAAUGGCGUAACGACUUCUCCGCUGUCUCAACCGCGAACUCGGCGAAAUUGCACUACGAGUAAAGAUGCUCGUUACGCGCAGCAGGACGGAAAGACCCCGGGACCUUCACUACAGUUUGGUAUUGGUCUUCGGCAUGGCUUGUGUAGGAUAGGUGGGAGACUGUGAAACAUUCACGCCAGUGAGUGUGGAGUCAUCGUUGAAAUACCACUCUGGUCAUACUGGAGGCCUAACUUCGGUCCGUAAUCCGGAUCAGGGACAGUGCCUGAUGGGUAGUUUAACUGGGGCGGUUGCCUCCCAAAAGGUAACGGAGGCGCUCAAAGGUUCCCUCAUCCUGGUUGGCAAUCAGGUGUUGAGUGUAAGUGCACAAGGGAGCUUGACUGCGAGACUGACAAGUCGAGCAGGGACGAAAGUCGGAACUAGUGACCCGGCCAUGGUUCGUGGAAACGUGGUCGCUCAACGGAUAAAAGGUACCCCGGGGAUAACAGGCUUAUCUUGCCCAAGAGUCCAUAUCGACGGCAAGGUUUGGCACCUCGAUGUCGGCUCGUCGCAUCCUGGGGCUGGAGUCGGUCCCAAGGGUUGGGCUGUUCGCCCAUUAAAGCGGCACGCGAGCUGGGUUUAGAACGUCGCGAGACAGUUCGGUCCCUAUCCGCUGUGCGCGUAGGAAACUUGAGAAGGGCUGUCCUUAGUACGAGAGGACCGGGACGGACGAACCUCUGGUGUGCCAGUUGUUCCGCCAGGAGCACCGCUGGUUAGCUACGUUCGGGAGGGAUAACCGCUGAAAGCAUCUAAGCGGGAAGCCUGCUUCAAGAUGAGGUUUCCAUGGGUUUUACCCGAGAGGCUCCCAGCUAGACUACUGGGUUGAUAGGCCGGAUGUGGAAGUGCGAACUAACGACGCAUGAAGCUGACCGGUACUAAUAAGCCAAUAACUUGACACAACA
rnacentral:rRNA from 1 species